UACGUAGGGCGCAAGGCGUUGUCCGGAAUUAUUGGGCGUAAAGAGCUCGUAGGCGGCUUGUCACGUCGGGUGUGAAAGCCCGGGGCUUAACCCCGGGUCUGCAUUCGAUACGGGCUAGCUAGAGUGUGGUAGGGGAGAUCGGAAUUCCUGGUGUAGCGGUGAAAUGCGCAGAUAUCAGGAGGAACACCGGUGGCGAAGGCGGAUCUCUGGGCCAUUACUGACGCUGAGGAGCGAAAGCGUGGGGAGCGAACAGG
rnacentral:rRNA from 1 species